ensembl:lncRNA
CUGGGAGUAGCGCGAGGAAAAGAAGGGCGCUGGGUGAAGCAGUUGCUCAGGAUAUUUCUCUGGCAAUGGAUCGUCACAAACGUGUGAAAUGUUUGCCUGGGGAAAACACACAGAACGAAAUGUGAUGCCAGAGCUUACUGCUGUUUUGUCACAUGAGUGUUUUCGACUAAGAUAAGCCAACUUCCCAGAUUCCCAGAGAGAUUAUAUCUUCUGCUGCAGAUAGAGUACUCAGGAUGUAGCAGUCGAAAUAGAAAACUUCAGUAGGAAACUUCCUUUGGGAAGUCCUAACCUGUAUCUCCUCUCACUACAUAGAUGUCUGGAACUUUUAUUAUGUAGACAAGACUGCCUUGGGAUUCACAGAGAUCUGCCUCCCAAAGGAGGGGUUGACAUCAAGUGCCAAUACUUUAACAGAUGUCUUUUGGCCUCUGAAAUGGCAGUUACAGGUGUAUGAGUGGGCGAAUCUAAGGUCCAGAAACAGGAUACAAUUUUCUCAAGGCAUCGUAUCUAUUUCAGCAGCACAACCAGACAAAAAUUUUGAGUUCUUGUUUAAUACCCAAGGUAUCAGAUAUGGUCCAGGAAUGGAGUCCUGUGAGAAGAUUUCUGAGUGCUUGUGAGAAUAUUCCUAAAAAUUCAGACAAAGGCCUUGUGACCAAAGUUCUUUCAAGAUACCAAAUUGUCCAUAGACAGUGUCUUCAUGCUCCUCUCCAGUGUUUUGGAUAGGAAUUAGUUUACUUCAGAUUGCUCAUUUUUGCUUGCUGUUGUAAUUUAUUUAAGUGUUUAAAUGACCCUUUUUAUGCCUUUAUAUGAGGCUUUGAAUGAAGAUGGCUUUAGCAUAAGACUUUCAUAUACCUUAUCUAGGGCUCCAUUGUCCUAUGUCCCACUGCCUGUAGAGCAGUGGCAGACAGGUGUGAAUAAACUGGAUAAAUAAAGCACAGAGGCAGGAGGAAGUUAAGGUUAAUUUGUAUUUUAAAUUGAACUCCUUGAAAACACACACACACACACACACACACACACACACACACACACACAUUUUCAUUACUCAUAGUCCUACGACUGCAUUAUUAAUACAUUUAUUUAGCUAGUACAAUUAAAGAACAAAAUAAUUUUGCAAGGGCAGAUUGCAAAUGUUAACAUUUUUAUCUUUAGAUCACAAUAUUACAUUUCUCCCUGUCCUUAAUCUACCAUUUGCCUGUUGAGAUUAGAGUGACUUUAGAAGAAUUCCAGCCAUUUUUAUAGGUGAUGAUUAUUUUCAUGGCUAAUUUUAAUGGAAGGCAGUUCUAUAUAUUUUGCAACUGUAAUUACAAUGAUUCGAUAUGUAGUCGCCUUUUCCAGGAGUCAGCAUCCAUUUGUCUUUAUCUUGUUUCUCUUAGUUCAUUCACUUGUGAGUAUCUCAACCUGGCCUUACUUGUAUGUGAGCGUACAGGAGCCUCUUCAUUUGAGGAGACCUGAAAACAUGGGUUUUCAGUAAGAAACAAAGUGUUGUGUUGUCCACCGCUUGUACUUGGCCAAUCAUUGCCAUUGGCCUGAGCCAGGGAGCAACACCUGACUGCCUCUCUUCCACUCAGGGUGUCCUGUACAGAGUCAGCCGUAUCCCUGGCCUUGAUUUUGAGGCUGGGCUCAUGCUUUGACAAUACUGUGUGUUGUUGUUGAUGAUUUUCAGUAUCUCUAGCAUGGACUUUUGGAAAGUUCAUAUCUGUGCGAUGAAAACACCUGGUCAUUCACAGUACACUGGACACAACAAUAUAGCAGUAGCAGCCACAGCACCAGGAGCAGCAGCAGGAGCAAGGACACUGUAAUUGCAAGGUGAAUGAAGGGUUGUGACUCCUGUGGAAAAUAUACAAAAUAAUUGUACUAGAUGUGUGUUCUAGGAGGGAGAAAACUCUUCGGAGCUCGAUCUACUUGAAUGUACCUGGGUCUUUCAAUGACAAAAUGUGACAAAUCACCAUGACCUACCCGGAGCAAAGCCCCACAGUCAAAAGAGGCGACCAUAUAUGUUUCCCACCAAUAUUUCUACCCACUCUCUCCUCUCCUGUGACUAUUUGCAUCCUCAGGAAGGUGCUCUCCAGACUGUGGUAUCAGCUCCGGGGACCAUAGCGCCUCCUACAAAAUUUGACACAGACACAUGAAAGGGUCUCUUAAGAGAAAUAUGCCUGACUUCUGCUCUGCCUGUGCUGGAUCUGAGUUGGAUUUGGUCCUCUGUCUGAUUCCUCCUAAGUGAUCCACUGUUUCCUUCACCACCAUUUUCCUCCAUCCUUCAAAACUCUAAGGCUACCAUCCUCUACUUACUACAUCUAGUACAAAUAUUUCAGGACUCCUGGUAGGAGUAAGGAUGUGAUUGAUCUUUUUGGAGUUUUUUUGGGGGCGGGGUUUAUUUUUUAUUUGCAUUUCCAUUGCUAUCUCCUUUUCUGGUUUGAUGUCCAUAAACCCCCUAUCCAACCCCUCAUCUCCCUGCUUCUAUGAGGGUGUCCCCCACCCACUCACCCCUUCCCUUCUUCCUUCCUGACAUUGAAUCUUCCUGAUACGUUAUCAACACCCCUUCUAUGAGGGUGUCCCCCACCCACCCACCCCUUCCCUUCUUCCUGCCCUGACAUUGAAUCUUCCUGAUACGUUAUCAACACCCCCUAUAUAUGUGUCUUAGUAAAUAUUUAUGUUAAGAAUACAGUAUUCAAAUCGACAUGAUUAAGUAGAAACGGGUAUCAUUACCAUCCUACCUUACAUGUGUUAGCUGUUUUCUCCAAGACCUCCCUUAUUAGCUGCCAGGAUUUUACUUUUGAUCAAAAGUUGCUGGGGUUUUGUUUUGUUUUGUUUUAUGCAUGGAAAGGUAAAAACACAAGCUGUGUAGGCAUUUUGAAUUAGUAUUGAUGGUACCCUUUUUUUCCUUCUUUCUCAGGGCCAGACCAAAGUAGAUCUUGGUACACUGCUAACUUAGAUGCUCCUGAGGGUCUGUUUCCCAGGAGGAUGGGCAGCUGUCCUCUGAGUGAUCUAAGCUGGGAUCACAUCACAGGCUUUCUUUUUGGAAAAGAGACACAAGGAGCAUGGGCUUGGGUCUAUAUUCUGAGUGCUGUCCAUGCAGUCCUGUAAUAGUCAUGAUUUGAGAAGCCAUGUUUAAUGAUUAUAAUCCCUGGAGCAGAUACUGAAGUCAGUCCCUCUCUAAGUUCUCUUCCUGAAUUGAAGCAUAUUCUAGUGUGCAAUUUGUCUUGGAAAUUUCCUCUUCAGAAAGCAAGCCGUUGGAGGUACACUAUAUUUUCUUCAGUCUUUUCUCUCCAGACAGAUCAGGUAGAUGGUCAAGGUGAAAGUGUGGAGGGGCAACCUUCCUCCUUUUCAGGCAGAAAAAUGUUGGGAGGUUGUUCAGAGGAUAACAUACAACCAUGCCCUCUAUUUUAAUUACCUUUGCACUGCCAUGUGUAUUUCUUAUUUAUAAUUAAAUAACAACUCAUUGCAUAGUUGUAUUUUUGUUGGUUUAAAGCAUCCUUUAAUUACUUUUUCUUAUAACCCAUCAAAAACAUUUUGAAUGCAACAUUGAGAUCUGCCUCUGUUAAAAUUUUGACUGAGGAACUCUUUGAUGCACCUACAUCGUGCAUGGGUCUAAAUCACCAUAAGUGGGGAUACUUUGUGGCAUUCACUACUAUUAGUAUUCGCUGAACUAUAUGUAUACGCUUUGGGGGAAAUGACCCAGGACACAGGCCUCAGGAAAAUGACUGACCUUGGAUUCUUAAAUUCUUUCUGGCUGUGCUGUGACUGCUCACUAUACCUUACAGGACCACUCCAAGACUCAACUUGUAAAUGUUCUAGUUCCAGUUCUGCUCCUUAGAAGCAGAGGAGUUUGGAGAGGUCAUGAAUGUUUCAUUAUAAUGCCUUGACCUUUAUUGUGGCCGAAUUUGUGCUACCAAUAAGGACUCCAUUUUCAGGAUUAAGUAGGUUUUCAUUACAUGGCAUUGUUGCUCUAUAGGGCCUGAGAUCUUUUGUAUUCAAUACCACAUUAUGAAUAAUUCUAAUGCUACCUUUGGACAAGGUCCCCAUAGAUUUUUUUUCCUGAAAAAAAAAUCUUUGAUGAUUUUACAUCCUGGGACAUCCACAGGUGUGUCAUGUUGUGAUGAUUGUUGCUUUCUUUGUGGCCUCACUGUUACUAUGUGGAUCUUCAAGCUCUUAGUAGAGUUUAUUGAGAGAAUAUUUUUUUUAAAAAGCAAUAAUUUUUUCUCAUGAAUGAGAAAUGUCAUUUGAAUUUUCUGUCUCUGUAAGUAUAAAUUCAUUGUCACUAAAGGGCAGAGGAUCUCUGCAAGGUGCAGGGUAUUAGUGGGAAGCCCUUCACAUUGUGCUCCUGACCACUGUGUAGCACAGCCUUCCUCCUUAUCCCCACAGUUCCACAGCCACCAGAGCUGCUGUCUCUGAGGAUUCUAGGCUUGUGCUCUUACUCUGGACAUCUUCACCAGAAAAGGGCCUCAAUACAGAGAGGAGCCUGUGUUUGACCCUAGGUUCUUUGUGCUGUCAGUGGUCACAGCAUAGUAUGAGGUUGGUAAAUAUGUGCUUCUCAGUAAUAAUUUCUCAGAGCUAAUACUACCUACCCCUAGUCUCUCUGUGACUCCUGUUUUGAGACAAGGCUUAAGUGAUGGGGUCAGGCUUUGUCUGGAAAUGUCCUCUUUAGCAUAGGUAGAGUAGGAGGAGUGGGAAGUGUAGACACACUGGCUCACUUCUUUAGAAGCAGAGGGAGUCCAGGAGGUUUUACCUGGGACUUUGUUCCCUGCAUCUAUUGUGUUCAAAUAUUCAUUGGCAAAUCAAACCCUUACACAGGAUUAAAUGGUUCCAUGCAUUUUGUUGCUUUAAAGCAUAUUGGAUACCCUGUAUUUGGUGCUGCAUUUAAAAUAUUUAUAAUUCCAUGUCUGGUUCCUUCCAGAUAUUUUCUGUGGACCUUCUUUAUAUGUCUUCAGCUUGGUGUAGCUACAGGUGCACCAGAACUUCCAUUGUUAUGAACCUGUUCUGGAAUCCUCUGCAAUUCAUCGAUUAUGUAGAUAUUCAAUCUCUUGCAGUAGCUGAUGUGUGGUUUAAGUUUCAUGAAGGUAUCUACCAUUUAGUCAUUCAGUUCUGUCUCGAUGAAUGGGACAUUCAUAGAGACCCAACAUGUGUGCUCCUUAGCACCUCAGGGACACAAUAUUCAUUCAGUUCAAUACAAACUGGUUCUAACCCUGGAAGUGCUCCAAAGGGUCUGUCUCAUUGGACUAUAGUCUUCUAACUUUUGGGGGGAGGGCUUUGUUCUCAUAUUCUUUUUUGAAAAAGGACCCAAUACCUCUGUGAAGGAGAAUGUACUUUUUUCUAGGUUCUGACAGCCCUGAGUGAUAACAUACUGGUUUUUUUCAUGAUUGAAAUUUGUGACGAAGAAAACUCUGAAAAGCAUGCCUAACGGGAGUGAAUCCUUAAAGUUGAUGCUGCUCUCAGUUUCUCAGAAACUCCUAUUCCUGAGAUGAGGAUAAUGUUUAAGCCGUAGGGUAGCAUUUGUUUGUGAAGUUCUUCUUCUCAGAAGAUAUAAUAGAAGGCACACUCUCCCCUCAUGUCUUUUCUUUUCAUAUGGCAGCUUAACAAGAGUGGAUGGAGUGAAAGUAAAAAGGGGAGGGGCACUGGUACACUCAGAAGCAGUGGGAGAUUGGGAAUUUGUGCAGCGUGCCACAGUACAACUACUGUCUACAGUACAAAGUACUGUCUACUUUGGUCACAUUGACACACGUAAUGAAAUUCUUCACAAUGAAUUAUUUUCUAUAACAUGGUUGGACUUUGGUUGCUUUAAAGUAUCUCUGACUUGCUUUAUUCAGUAACCCUUUAAAGAAUUUCUAUUUCUAGGUAGGGGGGCUGGGUUCCUAUUGAAUUUGUUCUGAGGAAAUUCUUAUUGUGUCUUCAUCAUGGAUCAUCCAUGGAUGUACCAUAACCGCCAGAAUCACAGGACUGUAUGUGAUUUUAACUUCAGGUAUAUUAAUAAACCUUAAGCUCUUGGGAGAGAUGAUCAGGCAUAGAUGUUCGUAUUCAGUAAACAUGACCUUUUUUUUAAAAUUCUCUCUCUGACAUACUAGAUGUCCUGUUAUUAAAUAGUAUAGUAUCAAUACAGGGUCCAACAUGUCAAGGGAAGCCCUUCAGACUCUGUAUGCCACAAUACCUUGGCAGAAUGGUACCCACUGAUACCAUGAAGCUUGUGACCUUUUAAUUUCCAGAGGAGAGUCUUUUUUUCCUAAGCAAACAUCACUGAGUUUAAUGAGCCCUUUCUAAUCUACUGAGAUGUUUUCAUGGUCAGUAUGUCACCAGGCAAUAUGGUGGCUAUGCAAAGCUAUGGAAGCCAAAGUAAUUUCUGUAAAGAUAGGAUGGGUCUUUUCCUCUAGAUAUGAACCUGCAGUGAUCUAUUUCAGCAGAGUUCCCUAUGCUGCAUCUUCCAUAACCAUGUAGGAUUUUUUCCUUGUCUCCAUGGCCACAGGAGUUGUGUGAUGUGAGGAUGAUGCAAUGCUUUCAGGAGUUCAGGCUGAGAGCUAACCAAGGCACCUGGACAUGUGUCACUUUUCAAAAUUUUGAUGGCCACCAGGUAGUCAGUGAAAGGAAAGAAAUUCAAAGGGCCCUGAAUCUAGGGUGUCAUUUUGUUAAAAUGUACUCUUUAGAGGAACUGGCCUUGAGUUCCCAUAUCAGCAUCAGAAUUGACUUUUGUUCAAAGACAUGAAAAGUAGCAACAGCAAAUAUUGAUGUUAGGGAACUGACAUCUACACAGAAUAAGUCACUUCAUGGAAUGCUCAUAGAUAUAAAUCCUAACAUUAAAAGUCAGACAUACUUAAAAAGCCUGUUAAAAUAAAAUUGAAAGGCUUUGGAAUAUAAGAACAAAUCAAGGACAAACAGUGGGUGGUAAUAAUGAAGAAGGAUCAUAGUGGAAAAUCAAGAAAGGGAAAUAAAAAUGAAAAGCCAGGCCAAAGAGUAAUUUUAUCUCAUAGCACAAAAACUUGACAGUGUUAGCAAAGGCAUCCCUCAACUAGGAUAGACACUGAUUUCAAUCAAAUUCUAAGAAAUGAUGAUGUUGCAUCAGAUGUCACUUGAAUCCAGGAAAUCCUUGGAAAAGAUUUUAUAAUUGAGACUCUUCUCGGUUUAAAAAAACUAAGUUUAUAGGCACAUUGGAUCUACUGAAAUUGAACCAAGAUGACAGAAAAUGCUUAUGCAGAUAAAUACAAGUCAGAAUACCUCUAAUAACAACACCAAAACCUGUAUCCUCAGAAAGGAUACCCAAGACUAAAUGCAGUCACCAUGAAUUCUCACAAAGGCUUAAAGAGCAGUGACAACAUUUGAUCCUCAGUCCCUUUAGUAGAAGGGAAUGAUGGCAUCCAUACACCCUCCACGAAGCCAUUAUUUUGCCAACUUCAAAGAUGGAUAAAGACAAAAUAGGAAGCAAAAUUAUAAUAUAAAUGCCUUAAAGAAUAUAGAUGGGAAAGCCAAAUCCUCAAUACAUGACUAAAGAUGUUACUCAGUCACCAAAGUCCCUUCUAGUUAAGCAUGAGCCCCAAGUUCAGCUCUUUAGCAGUGGUAUAAAAAGUCAGGUGUGAUGGAUACACCACAGUGCCUACCAAACAGACCGUUGAGGUUAAAAUCUAGCCACAAUGUUUUCUUCAUUAUCAAAUAUUUAUUCAUUACAUAAUCAUGCCUUUGUGUGUUCUCAAGAUUCGAUCAUCUCCAGAAUUUGGUACCCAAUUAAAACAAUAUUUUUAGCAUUAGAGUUGUCUCUCAUUCUCUUGAGACUUUUUCUGAGCCCGUGAUUGAUAUUUCUUCAUUAUGGCACAGCCAUUGGUAUGCUAUUAUUUCUAUGAUGUUUGGCCUCUUUGUGGCAUCUGAGUCACAUCUCAUUGUUUAGAACUUUCAGUUUUGACAGAGGUGAUGAGGGAUAAAAGCAUUUCUGUACAAAAAUAGCCAUUUGAUUGUUGAGUGCUCCAUCUCUUUGAAUGGGAGCAGCAAAGUCAUUAAAUGCCAGGUCCACACAAAGGCUAAGGAUGUCAUUGGGAAGCCUUUCAUUCUUUCUGGUACUGAAACCCUCUAGGGUACAAUAUCCGUUCUUAGGCACUCAAUGACCCUGUUGACAUAGGAAUUCCUGGGAGUCUGAUUCUCUGGAAGAUGGGCUGUUGCCAUCUGAGACAUAUGCAUUGGCUCUCACCCUGGGAAUCCUUGUUGUAAAAAUACAUUUCAUAUAUUUUAGGACAAUGUGCUUGUGUCAGAUUCUGAGAGCUUUUAGAGCUCACAUCUUGGAUUUGUACAUAUUUGAAUUUUGUGAAGAUGUGCUUGUUGAUAAGCAAUCUUUGUAAUCCAUUAUUGUCUCACCUUUUCUGCAAGUUGUGUUCCUGAGGUGAAACAUGUGCCCAUACUGUGAGAAAGGUUUUAAAUUGGAAGGUACUCUUGGGGAAGGAAGCAACUUGGGAGGCAGUUCAGAAGUUAUUUUUCUACCCUGCCCUAUAAUAUUGUCUAAUUUCCACUGGUGCUGGGUGAAUUUCUCAUUCAUGAUCAAAUGUUGGUGUUACAUGAUCUUGAGCCAUGUUUUAUAUUCUGGUUUUGGUAUUUCAUCAAAUAGAUUUUCAAUGAGGAGCUGGACUUUUAUUCCCUUGAUAUUCCUUGUGAGGACAUGGGUGAUGUGUCUUCUUCCUGACUCAGCCACGGGAAUGCCUAGACCUGAAUGUCUGUGGGCCUCUUCGUGUCAUACAAAAUCAAUAAUUGGUUAAAAAGAACUUUUAUCUCUGGGGAGAGGUGAUCAAGGAGACAAGAUUUAGGAAAAUUUCUGCCACUUGAUCUUAGGAUUCUCUGACAUUCUGAAUGGGAUGUGCCUCAGGACAGAAAUCUAGAGGACCUUUCAAAUGUUCCAC